rnacentral:rRNA from 1 species
UGCGUAGGCGGAACGAUAAGUCAGUGGUGAAAGUUUGCAGCUCAACUGUAAAAUUGCCAUUGAAACUGCCGUUCUUGAGUGUAAAUGAGGUAGGCGGAAUGUGUUGUGUAGCGGUGAAAUGCUUAGAUAUAACACAGAACACCAAUUGCGAAGGCAGCUUACUGGGAUACAACUGACGCUGAGGCACGAAAGCGUGGGGAUCAAACAGGAUUAGAUACCCGCGUA